AAAGCCGUGGAAGAUGGAGGUCCCGGAGGGAUCAAAACUAAAAAGUUAUAUUUACCAAUGUGAUGUUUGGUCGUAGUGACCGCAUGCAUGAUGUCACACUUUAUAUUUUGGGGGAUGUACUAAUAAUCGCAGACUUUCUUCCCUGGUCAUGCGGCUUCAUGCACUAGGUUCCUAUGAGUAGGGGGAGCUAAACCCAUCUAGCCCAU
rnacentral:lncRNA from 1 species